AUACGUAGGUGGCAAGCGUUGUCCGGAUUUACUGGGCGUAAAGGGCGCGCAGGCGGCUCAUCAAGUCCGGGGUGAAAGCUCCCGGCUCAACCGGGAGAGGUCUCCGGAAACUGAUGGGCUUGAGGGGAGCAGAGGAGAGCGGAAUUCCCGGUGUAGCGGUGAUAUGCGUAGAUAUCGGGAGGAACACCAGUGGCGAAGGCGGCUCUCUGGGCUCUCCCUGACGCUGAGGCGCGAAAGCGUGGGGAGCAAACCGGAUUAGAAACCCCAGUAGUCC
rnacentral:rRNA from 1 species